UACGUAGGGUGCGAGCGUUAAUCGGAAUUACUGGGCGUAAAGCGUGCGCAGGCGGUCUGUUAAGACCGAUGUGAAAUCCCCGGGCUUAACCUGGGAACUGCAUUGGUGACUGGCAGGCUUUGAGUGUGGCAGAGGGGGGUAGAAUUCCACGUGUAGCAGUGAAAUGCGUAGAGAUGUGGAGGAACACCGAUGGCGAAGGCAGCCCCCUGGGUCAAAACUGACGCUCAUGCACGAAAGCGUGGGGAGCAAACAGG
rnacentral:rRNA from 1 species